rnacentral:misc_RNA from 1 species
GAUGAAGAACGUAGCGAAAUGCGAUAAGUAAUGUGAAUUGCAGAAUUCAGUGAACCAUCGAAUCUUUGAACGCACAUUGCGCCCGGCAGUAAUCUGCCGGGCAUGCCUGUCCGAGCGUCAUUGCUGCCCUCAAGCACGGCUUGUGUGUUGGGCCUCCGUCCUCCUCCCGGGGGACGGGCCCGAAAGGCAGCGGCGGCACCGCGUCCGGUCCUCGAGCGUAUGGGGCUUCGUCACCCGCUCUUGUAGGCCCGGCCGGCGCUUGCCGACACAUCAAUCUUUUUUCCAGGUUGACCUCGGAUCAGGUAGGGAUACCCGCUGAACUUAAGCAUAUCAAUAAGCGGAGGA